AGUGAACGCUGGCGGUAGGCCUAACACAUGCAAGUCGAACGGCAGCACAGUAAGAGCUUGCUCUUACGGGUGGCGAGUGGCGGACGGGUGAGGAAUACAUCGGAAUCUACUUUUUCGUGGGGGAUAACGUAGGGAAACUUACGCUAAUACCGCAUUCGACCUACGGGUGAAAGCGGGGGAUCUUCGGACCUUGCGCGAUUGAAUGAGCCGAUGUCGGAUUAGCUAGUUGGCGGGGUAAAGGCCCACCAAGGCGACGAUCCGUAGCUGGUCUGAGAGGAUGAUCAGCCACACUGGAACUGAGACACGGUCCAGACUCCUACGGGAGGCAGCAGUGGGGAAUAUUGGACAAAGGGCGCAAGCCUGAUCCAGCCAUACCGCGUGGGUGAAGAAGGCCUUCGGGUUGUAAAGCCCUUUUGUUGGGAAAGAAAAGCAGCAGGUUAAUACCCCGCUGUUCUGACGGUACCCAAAGAAUAAGCACCGGCUAACUUCGUG
rnacentral:rRNA from 1 species